rnacentral:rRNA from 1 species
AUGGGUCACCCUGACGUAGACCUUUUUCGUCUGAAAGCAUUGGAUAACAUCAAGUUUGAGAGCCUGACUGACAAGAGAAAGUUGUACGCUCAGCCUAUGCUAUUCAUCCACAUUGUCCGUGACAAGGCCACGACUGAACUCAUGUUUAUCUACAUCAGUAUUGGUGUGACCAAGUCAGACCUCGUGAACAAACUUGGUACCAUUGCAAGAUCUAUCACAAAGGAUUUCAUGUAG